UCUUUGUCAUCAUCCUAUAAUAUGUUAGAUAGUGAAAAUUUGUUCCUAUUAAUAAGUGAUCCAAAUUCAGUAAACAUAUUUUCAAAACAUGAGAAUUUGCAUCCAACAAUUUCAUCGUUUGACAUUGCAUAAAUAAAUAUCAACAAUUGAAAAUUCAUUCACCAUAACUAUAGUAAAAAUGUUGAUAUUAAUCAAUCUACAAAGGUUAUAGAACCACAAAAUUUCAUAUAUUGUGACUGAUAUGGAUGCAAGUUCAAUAAAAAAUAAUCUUUCGGAACUCAAACGUGGAAUUUCGGAAAUGAAAAAUAUGUCAAACAAUUUUCAAAGACUUCGUGAUAGUAUGGAAAGUGUUGUAAUCAGAGAUGAUGCUGAAGUUCAAGAAAUAGAACACGCAGAACCUCUGGUAACAUUUCCGGAAACACCACCGCCAGUAACGACAUCAAUGAAUUUAUCCGGUCCAUUGCCCAUGAAUCUCAAUUCACUUGAUCAUAUCAGAGAUUUGAAUUCUCCAUCGAACUUAAAAAACGUACAAAAUUCAUCAACUCAAAUGGUUUCACCUGAAACGAUGAAGUUCGAGCAAAAAAGAACGACUAGUGCGUCAAAGAGCAAGGUAAUAACUGAAGGUUUUAAAGCUGAAAAAGCAACAGCUAAUCGAGCAGAGAUGAGAGCUAUACAAUCAAACGAUAUUCAAUAUAAAGAACAGAGUGCAGCCGUAGCUUCUCGAGCUCUCAUUGAAGUAGAAGGAGUAACAAAAGAAAAAACUUUAUCUAAUUCGAAGUCCCAAAAGAAUCUCAAUACAUGUGAAUCAUCAAUUGAAGAAAGCAGUAAAAUGGCAUCUUCUCUAAUACGGCUACAAAGUGACUCUUACAGCUCAGAAAAGACAGCAAUUGCAUCUCAACAACAACGGCAAACAUUGACAAGUGGGAUAUUCAAUCAAGAAAAACAUUCAGCAAGCAGUUCACAGUCUAGUUUUACGAUAGCUUCAAAAGCUUCUGGUAUUACAACAACCACUAAAUCAGCAUUGCUUUCAAAUGCAACAAAUGCUAUAAAUCAUUUUAUUAACAAAAACAGAAUCAGUUCCAGAAAUAUUGAUGAUGAUCUUUUAUCUAUAUCUUUAGAUGACCUUGAUCUUUUAUCGUCAAAAUCUAAAGCUCAAGAUGUAGAAUUAGCUAUUAUCAAGUACUCAGAAUUUUUGAAUAAUCUAAUAGGACGUUUAACAAGUAAUCAAGAUCAAAUACCUUUAACUGUAGAAAAAACUCCUCUCUUACUUGACCGAGUAAAUGAAAUCAUCAGAAAAGCUUGGGCUGUUCCUACAUAUGGUCACGAAUUAGGAUAUAGUUUAUGUAAUACUUUACGUUUGGGAGGUGGUCUUGAUAUUUUAAUGUUUAAUUGUAUAUCUAAUGACAGUAAGCUACAGUUUUCCUCAGCUCGCCUUUUAGAACAGUGUUUAACAACAGAAAAUCGAGCAUAUGUUGUUGAUAACGGUCUUGAAAAAGUUGUAAAUGUCGCAUGUAUGUGUACUAAAAAUAUCAACUCUGUUGAACAUUCUCGUGUUGGUACGGGUAUUUUAGAGCAUCUUUUCAAACACAACGAAGGAACAUGUAGUGAUGUUAUACGAUUAGGUGGUCUUGAUGCUGUAUUGUUUGAGUGUCGAAAAAAUGAUGUAGAAACAUUAAGACAUUGCGCCGGUGCUUUAGCAAAUUUGUCAUUAUACGGAGGAGCAGAAAAUCAAGAAGCUAUGAUCAAGCGAAAAGUACCUAUGUGGCUCUUUCCAUUAGCUUUUCAUAACGAUGAUAAUAUUAAAUACUACGCAUGCUUGGCUAUUGCAGUUCUUGUAGCUAAUAAAGAAAUUGAAGCAGCUGUUUUGAAAUCUGGCACUUUAGAUCUUGUUGAGCCAUUUGUAACUUCACACAAUCCUUUCGAAUUUGCGAAAUCUAAUUUGGCUCAUGCUCAUGGGCAAAGCAAAAAUUGGUUAGAGCGCUUGGUUCCUGUUCUGAGUUCAAAACGAGAAGAAGCUAGAAACUUAGCUGCCUUUCAUUUUUGUAUGGAAGCAGGAAUAAAAAAACAACAAGGAAAUACUGAAAUAUUUCGUUUAAUUGGAGCAAUAGAGCCGCUUAAAAAGGUAGCGAGUUGUCCUAAUGCGAUAGCUUCAAAAUUUGCUGUCCAAGCUUUAAGACUUAUUGGCGAAGAAAUUCCUCAUAAGUUAAGCCAGCAAGUACCACUCUGGUCAAGUGAGGAUGUACGUGAAUGGGUAAAACAAAUUGGCUUUGCUGAAUAUGCAAAUAACUUUAUAGAAAGUCGGGUGGAUGGCGAUCUUCUUCUUCAGUUAACAGAAGAAAAUCUUCGUGAAGAUAUUGGACUUACAAAUGGCAUAAAAAGAAGAAGAUUUACAAGGGAGCUACAGAAUUUGAAAAAAAUGGCCGAUUAUAGUAGUAGAGAUGCUGGAAAUCUAAAUAAUUUUCUUCAAUCUGUAGGCCUAGAGUUUUCAAUUUAUACAUAUAGUAUGCUAAAUGCUGGAGUAGAUAAGGAAUCUAUAAAAAAUUUAACCGAAGAUCAGUUGCUAACAGAAUGUGGGAUUAUAAAUAGCAUACAUCGGCUAAGAAUAUUAGAUGCUAUAAAAAAUACUCAAUAUAAUCAAUUUAAUCCCAGUGAAAAUGAAUCCCCAGAUAAAUCCCUUGAUGUUUUUGUUAGUUAUAGAAGAUCAAAUGGCUCACAAUUAGCUAGUUUACUGAAGGUACAUCUACAACUUCGAGGAUUUUCAGUAUUUAUUGAUGUAGAAAGAUUAGAAGCUGGAAAAUUUGACAAUAAUCUCCUACAAAGUAUAAGACAAGCCAAACAUUUUUUACUUGUUCUCACACCGAAAGCUUUAGAAAGGUGCAUUGAAGAUAUAGAUUGUAAAGAUUGGGUUCAUCGGGAGAUAGUAGCUGCAUUACAGUCACAAUGUAAUAUAAUCCCUAUAAUAGAUAAUUUUCAUUGGCCUGAGCCAGAACAACUACCUGAAGAUAUGAGAGCAGUUUGUCACUUCAAUGGAGUGAGAUGGAUCCACGAUUACCAGGAUGCUUGCGUUGAUAAACUUGAAAGCUAAAUAUGCAACGUCAAGACAAAAAAACACGAGGAACUAGAGGAGGUAAACAUGCCAAACAGAAAACGCAGUUUGGAAGGAUGGAAAGUUUUCUUUUGGCAUUGGCACGAGAGUGCACUAAUACAACAACUCUGAAGACUAAUGUUGAAUCCACAAAUUCUUCUGGAGAGAAUGCUCCAACACCAAGCACCAAUCUAUCUCAGAUUCCAUUAAAAGAUAUUUCUUUGGUACAGUCUAGCCAUCUAGAUACUAAUUUAGAAUCAAAAACUUAUUCUAAUGAAGGGAAUGCUCCAAUAUCAAGCUCCAAUCUGUUUGAUCAGAAUCCAUCAACGAGAUCUACUUCUUUGAUACAGAUUAGUCAAUCAUCAAGUAAUUUAUCUUCAACUAAUUCAUAUAAUAACCGUAAAUCCUUUAGAGGAACUCGAGCUGGCAAAAUUACUAAAGAAUAUCACCACGCCAAAAGCUUCUCUAUCUUCUUGUGGAGUUUGUUGAAUGAAUGUCAUUCCAGACAUAAUACAUGAAAUAUUAAACUAAUAAAAACAAUCAUGUUUUUUAUUAUUUUGUAAAAAAACAGUAGUACUGAGAUAAAAAAAUUU